UUGCCUACGGGAGGCAGCAGUGGGGAAUAUUGCACAAUGGGGGAAACCCUGAUGCAGCGACGCCGCGUGAGUGAAGAAGUAAUUCGUUAUGUAAAGCUCUAUCAGCAGGGAAGGAAAUGACGGUACCUGAGUAAGAAGCCCCGGCUAACUACGUGCCAGCAGCCGCGGUAAUACGUAGGGAGCAAGCGUUAUCCGGAUUUAUUGGGUGUAAAGGGUGCGUAGACGGGAAAUUAAGUUAGUUGUGAAAUCCCUCGGCUCAACUGAGGAACUGCAACUAAAACUGGUUUUCUUGAGUGUUGGAGAGG
rnacentral:rRNA from 1 species